GCAGUGGGAACAGUAACAUACAGAGACACCGGGGCCCCAUGGGGGCCCCGGCAGACGGAGGGGAGCGAGGGCUGCUCCUUCGCCAGAGCAGUGCCUCAGAGGGGCUGGACUCCAGAGCUUCCCAUCCAAAAUAAUCUCACCUCCAAUAUAUCAUGGAUUCUUCAUCCAUCCAUUUACAGCCCGUUGCCAUUAACACACAUCCUUCUGGUCGCCGUCGACUACCCUGAUGGAUGUUGCUUAAAGGCUUUCCCUCCAUUGAGGAGAACGAGUCACAAAGAAAAGGGGAUUCUUUUCUUGUUGAUGAGAGAAAGUUGUUGCAAUGAAAUUUAAUAUUCAGACGCAUCUGGGAAACAGUCCGUGGUAGCAAGCUCCUCUCAUCCUCUCUGCUGCACUCGCUUCUGCUGGGCAGCAGCUCCUCGGCCCGUCCACACAUCGUUUCUCACAGCUGUUUGAACCACAUUGUGACACGGAGGGGGAGCAGGCUUUGGUUCUGAACUGAGACCAAUGGCGUUGUUCUGAUUCACAUGUUCAUUUUUUUUUUAAUGGUGCAGGCUUUUUUGCACCUAUGCUCUCCAUAUUACCAGUUUCUCUGGUGCUUUCUCUCGCCUCUCAUGCAAACUGCAAGAACAGCAUGAUGGAAAAUUUUAUCCGUUUUGAAACGACUCAAAACAUUGAAUUACCGCAGCACAGGCAGCCAGCCCACGCCUAGUUACAAACCACUUGGGAACAUUGCAUUUAAUUUGAAAUUAGAUUAAGCUGUUUCCUAAAUUAAUCAUCAACAUUUUCACAAAAAUAAUGAUUUAAUCUGUUUAAGAGAAAGUCUUACCAGUUCUGACCAAAGUCUCUCCUCUUCUCCUCCAUCCCAUCCUCUCCAUGUGCCGUUGGCAGCACAGUGUGUUUUAAAUGGACGUAGAAUCAAGUGAUGCUAAGACUUGAUUCUACCGUCACAUAUUGUGUUUUUGUUUAAUAGUGAAACCAGGAACCUACCAUUGAUGAGGUCAUGAGUGCAAAUAAUUUACAUUUGAUUUUUUGCAACAGGAAAGAGAAGAUGUUUUUUUUCAUAUUCCAGUUUGUUGAAUUAGUACAAGAUUCUCGUAAAUGUUGGUUAUUUGGAUUUAGAAUGGGUUUGUUGCUUUUUUCCAUAGAUAUUCUCAUUGAAGGAAACAACAUGUGUAAGCAGAAACCCUGACUCCAUGUUUCUGCUUCUCUUCACAUAGAUCAUACAGCUCAGCUAGCUCAAAAGACUCCACAAUCUACUGCAGAAGUAGGCUAGCUCUGCUUCUGAGCUAGUCUGUUAGUGUUGAAGUUUGUGUGAACCUCAGCCAAAGGUCGGAGACAGCCAUAUAUUUUUAACGUCUUGUAUGAACAAUCUAAAAUUAUCAAAUAAAAAAAAAAAUCAAAGCAUCUAUCCAUAACAAACAAAUCCCUCUGGUCAGAUUCAGAUGGAAAUACAGUGACUUAAGAAAUCCAAGCAUUCCUUUUCGAUUGUGACGUUAAUACUGCGAAGACAGAAGUGAUGCGACAUAUUGUGCGGCUCUACAACUGCUAUUGUCAAUAUGCAGAUUUUCUUUCUCCUCUGCCAAAAACUCGUGGAAAUCAUUAAGAUAAUGUUGAUGUUCUAAUUUUGAUCUACUCUGUCUCAGCUGAAUUUAUAGUGUAUAA